UAAUUAGACAACAUGGCUCUAAGAUUGAGAGCCAAUCCAAAUGCUGUUAAGAACAGACACAAAAAGAAAACAUCACAGAAGUCUACCACUGUGCAAGUGAAAUGCAUGUCUAUACAAAGCCUCUGUGGGAGACACUACGUACUUUCAUAAACAAGCACAGCUGGGCACUGCGUAUCAUGCUUUGGCCCUGAUUCUUAUGCAAGUGGAGCCAGCUUCGCAGCUGAUGCAAGUUAGCAUACCUUCACUAAUUUCCAAACUGAUAUACCUCAACUGAUAGCCUGAACUUUGGGGGUGAAAUCUGACAGCUGCUUAACAGUGUAUGGCAAUGCAACACCACAGUUUAGGAUAUGCAUUAAAGAAUGCCUCAGGGUUAUUUUACACAGGCAGAAUGCAAUUAGCCACACUGGAAUGUGUCUACGACAUCAGGAGUAACACCAUGCAACUCCCCAAAAAACCCUAUGGGGUCUGUUCUAGGAGCUCUGAGACCCAUAUGGCACAUCAGAGUACUGGUGCAGCACUGACUUAGAGAAGUGCAGCCUUGUAAAUCACCAGCCCCACAAGCUGCAGCCAAGUUUUCCUUGCAGCCCUCCCACCCAAAUAAUAAACAUGUCCAUGCCUAGUCCACUCAUGAAACCUGUCGAGCACAUAGCCUGCAGGGGCUCUGGCUUGCCGGCUGAUAGGCAGACAGAUUUGGCUCUGGUCCUGGUUCUUGCAUCAUUUUUGUCCAUUUCUUUUUCAGCAGGAGAAUGAACAAUUUAACUUGACUUAAUGAUGCCUUGCCAUUCUGAUAUUGGUGGCAAAUCAUAAAGGGCUCCGUGAUAUGGAAGUGAUGUUUCUGCAUGGUCUGCUGGUCAGAAAGAAGAGGCCUGCCCUCCCCAAUACAUUGUACAUGAUGUAUUCAGUGAUUACUACAUUCUGAUUAAAGAAUAGGGAUAUACUCAAUCUUGUAGUAGGUAGAAGCCUGUCGGGUUGAUUUUGCUGCUGGAGAUUUUUAUACUGAGCUAAGAUUCAAACCAAUGUUUCAGCAACUUUCACUGACUGAUUACAGUAGAUGCAAAGCCCAUGUCCUUUUCUAGGUCAGCCAGGAGAUGGCCAGGCCUGGGGCAAGGCUCCUUGUGAAUUAGACAUUUGGCCCUGCAGCCAGGCUGUACAGAUGUUCCAGUGAUUAGAGCAGAGAACUAGAAGUGAGACUGCCAGAGCUCUAUUCUUGGUUUUGGAAGUUUUAUGCCCAUCUAUAUAACCGAACAGCAAAAAUCCUGCUUUUUGUUUCUUUUUAUAACAUACUGUCCCCUUAAAUCAGACAGCACCUUGCCUGUGAAGCUGUCCACUUUGGAGAACUGUUCUUUUUUGGGCAGUUGCUAUGCUCUGCCUUAUGUGGACUUUACUUUUGUUCUUUCUUGGCAUAUUGCUUAAUGUAAAAUCUAAGCCACCCAGUCUGAAAGUACAGGACUGCUCUUGUGGAUAGAAAAACACAACCCUAGGUGUUUAUCAGGGGCGAUAACGUUGCAGCAUUUAGAAAUGCAGAGCACAAGCUCAGUGGGCAAGCAGUCUCAGAGCAGUUUCAAUUCUUUCUAUUAUGCAUAGAGGAGAGAGACAUUGAUUAUGUUGCAUGGUGCCAGUCAUAACAGUAAAGAAAGAGGCAUCCAGGCACCACUGGGAAAUACUUAGAGAGCAAUACACAGUAGAAUGAUUGACAUCUUUAUACUCAGCAAGGAAGAUUGAGGUCAGAUGAUCUGAGUGUGUUUUAGAUGUGUUAGUUUGCUGGAAACAAUUUACACAAAGUUAUUUUGUUUUCUCUCCAGCCCAGAGAAUCCUAUGUGCUAUGUCAAAAGAGGGAACCAUAUUAUAGCGAGUGGUGUGCACACAGGAAAUGGUACAGUUCAUAUAAAAGUAGGAGUCCUCUGCUACCCUCUAGAUUGAUGUCCUGAAGAACAAAAUGUGCAUCAAUUAUGUGUGCCAUAACCAUAGCCAACAGAGAGAGAGUAGUUAUGCAGGAAUGGGGUAUGAUCAGCAGGUGGAGAACUUUGCAUCCUCUUCCCCUAUCCCCAUUACCUCUCUCCAGCUCUUCCCCCAUUGUGACUCAGUGGUACAAAACACAUGCCUGGAGGGCUGGUGUGGUUUUUCUGCAUACUACUGCUGGAAGCAUGCCAUUGGAUACUCUGGUACCAGCGGCAGAGGUAACAGAUGCAGAACAAGGCAGGAAAAGAUGAUGGAUGGAUGUAAUAAGGUUCACACAGAGUUUCUAAUGAUGAGCACUGCUGGACUAGAAGGAAGCCCAUAUAGAGAGCUACAACCAGCUGCACCAUCAUGUGUGUGGCCAAGCACUACUAAUUAAAGGAGGCACCAUGUCUAGUGGUCAGAACGCUGGACUAGGCCUGAGGGGAUCAGUGCCAGAUGCUAGGAUACAGGCACGAUGAUCUAGAUACCGGGGUUCUAUUCCUGAAUCUGCUGCCACCCUGGAUAAGUCAUUUCAACUUUCCUGUUCCAGUUUCCCCACCUUGCCCUGAGACUAAUGAUAUUUAUCUGACUUAUAAAGUGCUUUGAGUGCUACUAGUGCAAACUGCAAUACAAAAACUAGGCAUUUAUCUAUUAUCAUAUUUUCUCCCAUACCUCACACCCCCAAAUAUGACACACACCUUGUGUUUGGAAGGCAGAACAUGGUAUUCUUUUUUUCCAGAGCCAUGACUAACUCUGACAAAAAGUAAGUGCUCCUGGAAACCCAGUGUGUCCAGGAAGUGUGGCAACCCAGGAGACUGAUGUCUGGUUCUGCUGCUGAUUUAUCUUGGGAUCUGGCAUACCAUGCAAUGAGCUGUUGCUUAGUCUCUGUCUCCUGCACAUUCCUUGCUCUACACUUUGUCUUUGAGCUGCCAUUGUUUCUUUUGACUCCAUUCUGGCUUCUCCCUCACAACUGGUCAGCAGCGAUGCAUUGCCCCAUCUCUGCUGCUGCAUUUUCAUGUAGUGCUUUAAAGGACGGGUUAUCCACACACCAGGCCACACACCACUUGGCACCAUCCUGUCCUAGGUGAGUAAUGCUGCUUGUAAUGCUUGUGAAGGGAUAACUGUGUGCAUACCAUGUUCAUCUUUGCAUCUGCUUUUUUUCUUUCUUAAUGUACCUUGCAGUUCACUUGGCAUGGUCAGAGCUCCUAAUAGUGUAGCAUGUAUUGGACCAGGAGCUCUCUCCCUAUGGGCCUGAGCUGAGAUGUAUUAAAGCCUACAGAAGCUUCUCCAAUGA